rnacentral:rRNA from 1 species
GAUGAACGCUGGCGGCGUGCCUAAUACAUGCGAGUCGAGCGAACAGACGAGGAGCUUGCUCCUCUGACGUUAGCGGCGGACGGGUGAGUAACACGUGGAUAACCUACCUAUAAGACGGGGAUAACUUCGGGAAACCGGAGCUAAUACCGGAUAAUAUAUUGAACCGCAUGGUUCAAUAGUGAAAGACGGUUUUGCUGUCACUUAUAGAUGGAUCCGCGCCGCAUUAGCUAGUUGGUAAGGUAACGGCUUACCAAGGCAACGAUGCGUAGCCGACCUGAGAGGGUGAUCGGCCACACUGGAACUGGGACACGGUCCAGACUCCUACGGGAGGCAGCAGUAGGGAAUCUUCCGCAAUGGGCGAAAGCCUGACGGAGCAACGCCGCGUGAGUGAUGAAGGUCUUCGGAUCGUAAAACUCUGUUAUUAGGGAAGAACAAAUGUGUAAGUAACUAUGCACGUCUUGACGGUACCUAAUCAGAAAGCCACGGCUAACUACGUG